rnacentral:rRNA from 1 species
GACGUAGGGCGCGAGCGUUGUCCGGAUUUAUUGGGCGUAAAGAGCUCGUAGGCGGCUUGUCGCGUCGUCUGUGAAAUCCCGCGGCUCAACUGCGGGCUGGCAGUCGAUACGGGCAGGCUGGAGUUCGGUAGGGGAGACUGGAAUUCCUGGUGUAGCGGUGAAAUGCGCAGAUAUCGGGAAGAACACCCGUGGCGAAGGCGGCUCUCUGGGACGGUACUGACGCUGAGACGCGAAAGCGUGGGGAGCGAACAGG